rnacentral:rRNA from 1 species
GACGAACGCUGGCGGCGUGCCUAAUACAUGCAAGUUGAGCGAUGAAGAUUGGUGCUUGCACCAAUUUGAAGAGCAGCGAACGGGUGAGUAACGCGUGGGGAAUCUGCCUUUGAGCGGGGGACAACAUUUGGAAACGAAUGCUAAUACCGCAUAACAACUUUAAACAUAAGUUUUAAGAUUGAAAGAUGCAAUUGCAUCACUCAAAGAUGAUCCCGCGUUGUAUUAGCUAGUUGGUGAGGUAAAGGCUCACCAAGGCGAUGAUACAUAGCCGACCUGAGAGGGUGAUCGGCCACAUUGGGGCUGAGACACGGCCCAAACUCCUACGGGAGGCAGCAGUAGGGAAUCUUCGGCAAUGGACGAAAGUCUGACCGAGCAACGCCGCGUGAGUGAAGAAGGUUUUCGGAUCGUAAAACUCUGUUGGUAGAGAAGAACGUUGGUGAGAGUGGAAAGCUCAUCAAGUGACGGUAACUACCCAGAAAGGGACGGCUAACUACGUG